ACCAAAUAGACCCAGCAAGGCCAACUGUGCAUACUGAUAAUAAAAAAACUUUAUAUUUACAUUACUUCCACAACAGACUUUUAAGGAUAGUUUUGGCUGUCUUUAUGAAAACCUUUAUCCCCCCCCCCCCCACCUUACCCACCCACCAGUGGGCCCCUUUGGCCCCUCUGCUGUCAUGUUUCUACAAGGUAAGAGAGGACAUGUUUAAGGCCUUCCAGGCUGGCUUUCUCCUCCUAGGCCACAAAGAGGACACCAUCUUGCCUCCUCACGAUUGCUCCAAAGAAGCCAGCUUCUGCCUAGCUCAUUGCCAGAACUGUCCUUCUACAAGGUAAGACAGUACAUGUUUAAGGCCUUCCAGGCUGGCUUUCUCCUCCUAGGCCCCAAAGAGGACGCCAUCUUGCCUCCUCACGAUUGCUCCAAAGAAGCCAGCUUCUGCCUAGCUCAUUGCCAGAACUGUCCUUCUACAAGAAGAGUGUAGAAAGGGAACAGCAUUUACAGGAAGAAAAAGAUAUCACUUUCCCUUGAAGAUAGAGUCCUAAUAUAUACCAUGAGAGAAGACCAAACGAUUUUCAGCAAAAAACUGAAGUGCAUGCAAACUUUUCAAAGCAGUAAAGGACACAUGAUGAUAAGCAGAACAAAACUUUCUUCUGAAGGAUCGGAGAAUAAAAAUGGAAAAUGCAGAAAAAAGAAUGCAAACUUAAGGAAGGUUUCCUCAUAGACCACAUGUGAAGCUGCAACAUUCAGCUAUAUAUUUAUUGUAAUGUGAAUGUAUUGCCAACAUGAAUUGGAAUUCUAACAAUAAUAGCUACCCAUGGGACACUAGAAAAGCUAUGCAGAAAAACAAUACCAUCAGAGAAAAGUCAAUUUUGCUGGACUUUUGAGAUUGAUCUUUUUUGAUAGGAAUGACAUGUUUAAUAUCUAGUAUUACCUUAUGAUGUAUUCCCUUGCCUACUCUGCAUGUUUUACACAUUGCUACACAAACAGGAGGGAUGUUAUUGUUUGGAAUAAAGAUGGGCAGACUGGGAAAGCAAUAAGAUCCACUUCUAGAGAAGGAGGACGGAGAACGCAAUAUGUAAUUCUUGCUUCUCAAAAGCAAUGUUGCUUGUUAAACCCCCCACAGAAUAAACAUAAUACAGAUCUUUAUUCCCUGAAUCUUUCCAACAACAAACUCAACUUACACUCCCUCAACAGUCUAGUUACAUAACAUGCCUUGCAAACAACCUCUGCCCCAUUUUAUAAAGACAUAAUGAACAAUGGCGUAGCCAUAGUAACAUCAUUUACCCUGAAGCCUAUACUAGUCCACUGCAAAUGUUGAAGGUUUUUUCUUCAUGUUGUCAAAAGCUUCAGAUAUCUUUCCUUGCUCUUCUUCAAACUGCAGCUUUGCCUGAACAACAAAAAACAAGAAGAUCCGAUCUACUUUACCUUACCUCAUCACACCCCAUCGCAGCUUACCUUCUGCCAUCAUCACUGUGCCAAAACCAAAUACUUCAAGUUCAGUGAAACCUUCAGGGAGCGGGUGUGAUGUUGCCAUCUUGUCGUAGCAGUAAGGCCAGACUAACCUAGGCUCUGCCUCAUGCACUGGCAAACUGUCUGUGACAAUCUCUCUCUCUUUUUGGCUGGGUUCUCUGCCUUUUCCAAAAGCCCAAGGCAGCUUUCUUCUUAAAGGGCCGGUCCGUAAAUUGAUACUGACCGAUAAUUUUGAGAAAGAAGCUCUGUACUGCAACUUUUUCCAGAAUUCCCUUGAUAAAGCAAAUGACAGCAUCCAUUUGAAUGUACAUUUUGCAAAAUAAACCAUUUAUGGAAUGCUGUUUUGGUCUUUACGGGAUACUUUGGAUACAUGAAAUGAACGCAUUUGUGCAAUUAAGACUCACAUGAUUUUAGCAUGGCCAUGAUUCCAUGAAAGUCUCUCACUGUCCUUUAUAAACAAA